UCCUGCCCGGCGCGAGAAGGGCGCCCGGACGGCCCGGCCCACCCGCGACUCGAAGCGAGGAAAGGGCGGGGAGGGUUCUAGACGCGGUCGGGAGUGAGGAUCUGCUUUGGAUGUGGCUGGAGGGGUGUCGAAGCUUUAGGAUGAUAUGCUUGAGAAUUUCUGUUUCUGGGGCCCGGAGCGAUAGUACAGCAGGGGUCUCCUGUAGUCUGCUUGCUGUCUUGUCUUGCCUUAUUCAUUUUGGAGCGGGUCUUCCCGGUCACUCCCUGCGAUUCUCGGGCCCAACCAGCCGACCAGGCCGUGCAGAAGGAGCCCGAGGAUGUGGAGUGCCGCAAACCACCCAGUGGAGACCACCGACCACGGGGAACCAGGGUCGAAGGAAUCAGGAGAAGUCAGGAAUCGGCGGGGAAAUGACAGACAGCCACACUAUAAGCUGGUGAACUGCUGCAACUUUAUUCUGCAAAGCUGUGCUUAUAUAUUGUUUCUCCAAGGAAAUAGCAAUAAGCAGGGGGUUACAACAUCAGGUUACACCAUUAGACCACUGCUUUGAUGAUUACAAUACAUCAUUAGAACACUACUUUGAUGAUUAUAAUUCAGCAGAAAAAUUAUUAACGAAGUACAAUACAGUAUGAGCUAAUUCCGCAUAUCGCUGCUGUGACCUCUUGUGGUUUUCCUGUAAGGCUAGGGUAAAGCUAAGGUUCUUUGAAAUGUCUGUUUCGCGCCAAUGAUCACAUCCGUGUCAGUUUAGCAUUAAGUGUUUAAAGCCCUUUCUCCCGUCAGAAAUUUGUUAUAAUAUAUUGCAAAAGGUUUAAAUAAUAAACAUCAGGGUUUUCUUCAUCUAGCUAAUCUAGCCAUAAAUGGGAGCUCUGAAAACAACCGUCGUUUCCCUUCAUAGUUUACCCAUCUAUUCCCAAUGUUGUCGUUAGUUCCUGUAAAAAAAAGGGGGUGGAUCUAGGUAAUCUUUUACUGCAGGGGGGAGCAACGUGGCGGCAAAGCCCGCCAUCGCUCUCCCACAAAAUAUUGUGUCCCUGCGGGGAAUCUUAGCCAACUCUUCUUUUUGGAAAUGUUUUUGUCUCACUAUGCUGUGAUUUCUGCAACACCUUUGUUUUUACUUUCAUUUCGUCUGUUGCCUUGAUUUCCAAGAACAACUCUUUUUAUCCUCAACCUUGUUUAGAAAAAACCCAAUGAGGCGUCUCCAGCAUUCUACUAUGCUUCUGAGACAGGUGCUUGAACAAAAGGAAAAGGGGGGCUUUAGAUAUUAAGUCAUCUAAUUCUGGCCGGCCUGUGGUGUUGGCAACAUCCUGACCAGGAAACGCUCAUACUGUUCCAAUACGAAUGCACAGAUAAGAAAUGCACAGAAGAAAGGCACAGAUAGUUAAGCUAAGGCAAAACCAAGGUUGUCUUGUGCUCCAGCAGUUUCUGGUGUCAUCAGGUCACGUGAUGACCACAGAUUGUAGGGGAACUGCCUGAGGCCCCGCUCCGGGGAGCUCCCACCUCAACCUCUCAUCUGCAGACCUCCAGCGUAGCAGCAUUUUGCUACAGCUACACAGGUGUCACAGCUGUGGGCGUAGCAGUGGAGCUUCUUGAGCCUUGUUGUGCCAGGGACCCCUGGAGUCACCCAGGAAGUGCCGUACCUGGUGAUGCUCCAAGAGCCACUAGUACCAGGGAUUGAGCUGGGUGGGUCCUGUGUGAGGGAAGGUGUGUGUCCUAAACCCAUGCUAUCUCCCGGUCCUGCCUGAUCUCUCCCUCUGUGAUCACUUCAGCCUGUUGCAGCAUUCAGCCGCCAGCAGCAGCACUGGGAAACAGUAGCUUCUGCAAGUGCAGGCCAUGGUGGCAACAAAGCAUCCAGCACCCAGAGAAUCAGUUCUUUCAUCAACCAAAUGGGUUUAUGGAGGAUUGGAGAGAUCCUAGGGUUUAAGGCUCGUCCUGCACGUGGCCCAGGUUUGAUCCCCAGCACCACCAGGAAUGACCUUGAGUAGGGAGCUAGGAAUAGGCCCUGAGCACUGCCAGGCAGGCCCCAUUCCCGGCCCCCUCAAAAAAAAAAGUGGGGGGCUGGAGCGAUAGCACAGCGGGGAGGGCGUUUGCCUUGCACGUGGCCGACCUGAGUUCGAUUCCCAGCAUCCCAUAUGGUCCCCCAAGCACCGCCAGGAGUAAUUCCUGAGUGCAUGAGCCAGGAGUAACCCCUGUGCAUCGCCGGGUGUGAUGCAAAAAAAAAAAAAAAGGGUGAUCUACACAGACAAGGCAAUUUACAAAGCGCAGUCUCUUGGGAGCUGCAGUCUCCUGGGAGAUUUCUGGGUCAGGCAGCUACACCUCUUGCCAGGGGUGGGCAGGUCUGUUGGCCUUUGUCAUGUACUCACCACUCAUGCCCUCUUUUAGCUUCCAGCUCUUUGAAAUAAGGUUUCUGUUUAUUUUCAUAAAACAACAGUAAUUGCAAAAGCUGGGUUGCAACUUUGAGCUUGUGCUCUUGCCUAAGGCAGCCACGUUUGGCCCGGAACUCAGCAAGGCGCACUUCCCUUGGGGUGCCCAGAGCCUCCGUACAUAGUUGGCACCGAUAAUACCCAGAAAAACACUUGGGACCCAAUGUCCCAGAGCCCCAGAAGUGUGUACCGAGGGAGCUUUAGGGAUUCCCCUGGCCAGUUGCAUGUCCUGUGAAAUGAGGAGUCCUUGUCAGAGUCCACUUGCAGUUUCUGCGCAACUCCAAGGUCCGGGUCCUUGGCCCUGGGCCCAGCUCUCCUGGGCUCCUGGAAGCAGGGGCGGGCUUGGUGGCAGAUGGAGAUUCCCUCCUGCUCAUUCCCUUGGGGGUCGGAGGAGGGGUCCUCUCUGUCCUCUCUCUGAACAGGGCCAAACAAUAGAUCGGGGCCGAAGAGAUCAUACAGUGGGUAGAACUCUUGCCUUGCACGUGGCCAGCUCAGGUUCACUCCCGGAGUGAGCAUCCCUGAGGGUCCCCUGAGCACUACCAGGAGUGAUCCCUGAGCACAGAGCCGGGAGAAAGCCCUGAGCACUGCUGGGUGUGGCCCCCAAACUGGAAACCAAAACCAAAUAGAUAAUAUCACACACACACACACACACACACACACACACACACACACACCCCUUCACUCUCGCUCUCCGAUGCACCCAUUGGAUGAAUGCCUCUCCUCCCCCAAGGUGACGCUGAUACUAAGAACCCAGCACUACGUGAAUAUUUGGGACUCUGUCUAACUGUCUUUUACUAAGAAAGACUCCUAAUCUGUUCUUCCGGCUCCACCGUCCUGCCAGACCAUUUCCUAUCCCUGUGACCCCCGACAACACACUCAGAACACAAUCUCUCACACACACACACAAACACACACCAUGGGUCUUGAUUAAGUAGAUUUUUUUUGGCUUUUUGGGUCACACCUGGCGAUCCACAGGGGUCACUCCUCGCUCUGCACUCAGGAAUUACUCCUGGCUCUGCUCAGGGGACCCUAUGGGAUGCCAGGAAUCAAACCCAGGUCGUCUGCGUGCAAGGAAAACAUCCUCCCUGCUAUACUGUUGCUCCGGCCCUUGAUAAAGUGGGUUGUGGGUAAACUCUCCCACCCCUCCCAGCCUAGAUUUCAAGUCUCGCAUAUCUAGUUGUCCAGAAGAAAAGCUUAAAAACAGGGGUUUCGGGGAGCCCAGUGGAUGGUACAUGUGGGCAGAGCAUUUGCCUCGUGGCCGACCCAGGUUUGAUCUCCAGGAUUGUAGGGAGCCAUUUUACAAGCCCGGCUCUUAUCCUCUAGUCAAGUGGAGGCUUACUUGGGAUUCCUGUAACAAGGUCACCACUGCUGACCUUACUGAUCUUAUCAGUUCGCCAUUCCUCUCUCACUAACUAACGCCCAUGCCUGAUCUGCCCAACGCCCAUGCCUGAUCUGCAUUUUACUAUUGUUCCUAUGGGGGUCCAAGCAUGCAAACCGCCCCCUCCCACCAAGAGGUAUAAGUAUUGUAACUGCUGUGA